CAUAAGCCCCUCCAUGCAGGGCACCCUGCAAAGCGGAACUGACCCUGGACUCACCACAGAGGCGCCGGCGCCCUGUCCCCAGGCCAGCCCGGGGCCAGCCAGCACAUUCAUUUGGGGGCAACAUUUUAAAUAACUUUUCCUUCCACAGCAAAAGUCAUCUGGCAGUCCUAGUCCCUUGAAAUAUGCUUCCUCUCAGGAUAUCUUUUAGUAAAGUGAAGUAUGUUCUGAGAGCUGAUUAAGAGUCUUUCAAAAUGCUCCCCUUUACAAAGUCUGUGACUCCUCUGCUGGGCCCGGGAUAAGAGAGGAAAGCUCUGCUCACAUGUUUCUAGCUCCUGACUCUGAGGGACUGGGAAAUAGGACAGUAUGAAGGAUGCCAUGGGAGCAAGGAGCAUACUUGAACCCCCAGCAGCUAGCACAGUACCCAGCAUAUAGUAAGCUCCUGGUAAGUGUUUGUUGAUUGAGAAAAUGAGCCAAGAAGCCUGCAAGUUUUGCCUAUGGAGAGCCUAGCAAAAUUGUUAUUUAUGGCUGGUGAACAAAGCAAUGUCUGGAACUCUCCCUUAAAAGGACUGGUUGCAGAAUUUUAACUUGUAUGAUUUAUUUUUUUCACUUUAAAAAAAAUAAUGAAAUAGAACAUAGAAAAAGAAAAGUGCACAAAACAUAUGUGGAUGAUUUAAUUAAUACAGAUAAAGCAAACACUCUUGUAACCACCAGCCGAGUGAAGAAACAGAAUAUUAUCACCACUGCAAAAGCCCCCUGUGCCUCUUCCUCCGGAGCUGAGUCAUUAUUAUUUAGCCUAAUCAUUUCCCUGCUUUUCUUUAUAGUCUUACAACCCAUGUAUUUAAAACCUAAAAAAUAUGGUUGUGUUUUGCCUGUUUUUGAAUGAAUGGAAGUACAUCGAUGUAUUCUUUUGCGUUUUCAUUCUUUUGCUCAGUGUGACGUUUGAGAGAAUCUGCCGUGUUUUCACAGCUGUAGUUUGGUCAUUUUGUUGCUGCGUUGUAUGAACCACACUUUAUUCAUACAUCCUCUCGUUAAUGGACGUUUGGAUUUUGUUCCGGUCUUUGGCAGCCCACCUGGGUUUUCUAGCCAACUUUGAGCUCUCACUUCUGGUUGACACUUGCUGAAGCCCUCUUGGCCACCAGGUCAUAGUUGCUCCAUGGAAAAUACCCUCAGUUUCUGCCAGCAGCUCCGGGGCUUUCACAAGGCUCUGCCUCCCAGCACGCCCCAUCAGUCUUGGUGUUCUGGGAACCAGUGACUGUCCUGGGACCUCAUACCCGGAGCUGUCUUGCUUGCUCAGAUACCUCAUAGCUUUGACUCAAGUUUUACUAUAUUUUCUUGUUUCUAGAUUUCACCUCUGCUCUCUGCUUUCUAGCUCCUGGGCUAAUGCCACCCAGCACACCUUACAACUGUGUUGAGGCCUGGCUUCCCAUAAUUGCAACGGGAAUUCCAACCCCACGUCACUGUCCUUUCCCUGACCCCCACUCUCUGCCUGGGCUCUUCGAAUUGGAUCAAACAGGUUUAUUGGUUUUGGGGAUGUGAACUGCAUGUUUAUAGCCAACGAAAAAUUAUCAAUUGGCCAGCUUCAAUAAAUUCCAAAGUUAGAAGAUAUAAAUGUAAAACUUUCCCACUAUUUCAUGCAGCCACUAUCUCUUAAAUUAUUUCAUUAAGCAAGUUACAAAUACUGUUUUAUCUCCCACCAAAAUUGAAUAAUGAAGGAAACUAGGUUCAUCAAUUCAAUUAACCAACAUCAUUGUGCUCUUAGUAUGUCCCAGACAUCCUUGUUAAGUGCUACAAAUUUAAUAAUAAAAUAAAGAAAAAAUAAAAGAUGAAGAAGUAUAGUUUUUCAAUUGCAGUCAGCCUCUGUACUCCAAGGAUGGCACUACAAUUCACAUUCGGAAUUUCCAUUAAAUAGACUUGCUUCUCGAAGGGGCGUUGGCGC